rnacentral:rRNA from 1 species
UACGAAGGGGGCUAGCGUUGCUCGGAAUCACUGGGCGUAAAGCGCACGUAGGCGGCUUUCUAAGUCAGAGGUGAAAUCCCGGAGCUCAACUCCGGAACUGCCUUUGAUACUGGAAAGCUUGAGUUCGGGAGAGGUGAGUGGAACUGCGAGUGUAGAGGUGGAAUUCGUAGAUAUUAGGAAGAACACCAGUGGCGAAGGCGGCUCACUGGUCCGGAACUGACGCUGAGGUGCGAAAGCGUGGGGAGCAAACAGG